GAGUCAGUGGAGAUAUGAUGGCGAUGCGUUGGCUCAUUCUCCAGAUGUGUUUGGGUAUGUUUUUUUCCAAUGAAUCUGGCGUUAAAUUUAAAAGAAACCGGAAUUUUAGUUACUGGGAGUCGUUGUUAUUUCAGAACGUUAACUCAAUACUUUAUUUACCAGUUUAUUAGUUGUAGCCUAUAUCAUUGCAUCAUAUCCUGAUUUGUAGAAGGCAAUUAACGUGCUUGUAAUGUAUGGCCGUAACGUUAGUGUCGUGCCUAUGAUUUUCUUUCUGUUGAAGAAGGUGUUAAAAUAUAUAGAAAUACAACAUUACAAUAUAGGAAAAAUAUUAAGAUAGGUCUACACUAUAUUAACCUUUGGACUGGUUUUUGCUACCUGAAAGUGAAUGUUUGGGGUGGGGGAAUUCCCAGUGAAUUCCGCGAUCAGACUUCCUCAAUUAGAUUUGGUUUAUUCGUAACGUGUCGAGUGGGUCGUUGGAGUAAUUAUAGAUGUCUGUGUCAAAUUAAAUAACGUCUCUUAUAGUGUAUUAGGUAUUUCAGUUAAAAGACAAUCAUGGAAAUACACACUUCAUUGACAAGUAUGUGGGCACCUGCUCAUCGAACACCUCAUUUCAAAAUCAUGGCCAUUUAAUAUGGAGUUGGUCCCCCUGUUUCUGAUAAGAUGUUGGAACAUUGCUGAGGGGACAUGCUUACAUUCAGUCACAAGAGCAUUAGUGAGGUCAGGCACUGAUGUUGGGGAUUAGGAGUCUGCGUUCCAAUUUAUCCCUAAGGUGUUAGAUGGGGUUGAGCUGCUCUGUGCAGGCCAGCUAAAUUCUUCCACAACGAUCUCAACAAACCAUUUAUUUAUGGACCUCGCUUUGUGCACAGGGGCCUUGUCAUGCUGAAACGGGAAAGAGCCUUCCCCAAACUGUUGCCACAAAUUUGGAAGCCCAGAAUUGUCUAGAAUGAUAUUCUAUUGUGUAGCGGUAAGAUUUCCCUUCACUGGAACUAAGGAGCCAUGCCCGAACCAUGAAAAACAGCCCCAGACCAUUAUUCCUCCUCCACCAAACUUUACAGUUGGCACUAUGCAUUGGGGAAGGUAGCAUUCUUUUGGCAUCCACCAAACCCAGAUUCUUCUGUUAGACUGCCAGAUGGUGAAGUGUGAUUCAUCACUCGCGAGAACAUGUUUCCACUGCUCCAAAGUCUAAUGACGGCGAGCUUUACACCACUCCAGCCGACGCUUGGCAUUGCGACCUUAGGCUUGUGUGUGGCUGCUCUGCCAUUGAUACCCAUUUCAUGAAGCGCCUGACGAAAAGUUAUUGUGCUGACUUUGCUUCCAAAGGCAGUUUGGAACUCGGUAGUGAGUGUUUUCUUUUUGCAACAUGUGUGACUGAAAUAGCCAAAUCCACUAAUUUGAAGGGGUGUCCCCAUACUUUCGGGCGUGUAGUACAGUUCACUCCUGGUACAUGGUGAUAUCAUGUACUUUUUGACCAAUAGUUUUUUUUUGGCUUGUUUCUUCCAUUUUUUUCUGUUUUUUCCUUUAACCAAUGUAUGUUAAAAUAAAUAGCUUAGAUACAAUAGUGAAAACAGAUAAACAGUUCUACAACUGAACAUCAGAAAUCAACAAAGUGCCUACCCUGACACGAAAGGCUGAGGUAUAUGAAUGGCGCUGGAGAGAAUGGCUGCCGUUUUACAGUAUCCUAACCAAUUGUGCUAUUGUGUUUUUUUAAAAGUUGUUUGUAACCUAUUUUGUACAUAAAGUUUCUGCCACCGUCUCUUAUGACCGAAAUUAUGCCACUGUCUCUUAUGACCGCUUCUCGAAAUUAGGACAGCUAUUACUCACCUCGUAUUGAAAGACAAUUUUUUUCUUUAACGAGUCGGACGAGAGGGAUUUACUCCAGACACCCGACAAGGCCCUCAUCCCCGUCAUUUGCAGGAGACAGAGAUAUUGAGAAUGAAGAUCGGGAAGCCUUGUAAGUAUCCGGUGGCGAGUGGGUAAUUUGCCUUUGUAGGUCGGCUAAGAGGACCGAUGGUAAUCAUUGGAUAAUAAAAUAGACGAACUACAAGCACGUAUAUCCUACCAAUAGGACAUUAGAAACUGUAAUAUCUUAAGUUUCACAGAGUCGUGGCUGAACGACGACAUGAUAACAUACAGCUGGCGGGUUAUACACUGUAUCGGCAGGAUAGAACAGUAGCCUCUGGUAAGACUAGGGGUGGCGGUCUAUGUAUUUUUGUAAACAACUGCUGGUGCAUGAUAUCUAAGGAAGUCUUGAGGUUUCGCUCGCCUGAGAGUAUCUCAUGAUAUGCUGUAGACCACACUAUUUACCAAGAGAGUUUUCAUCUGUAUUCUUCGUAGCUGUCUAUUUACCACCACAAACCGAUGCUGGCACUAAGACAGCACUCAAUGAGCUGUAUAUGGCCAUAAGCCGUAUAGGAAAUUGCUCAUCCAAAGGCGGUGCUCCUAUUGGCCGGGGACUUUAAUGCAGGGAAACUUAAAUCCGUUUUAGCUAAUUUCUACCAGCAUGUUAAAUGUGCAACCAGAGAGAAAAAAACUCUUGACCACCUUUCCUUCUCACACAGAGACGCAUACAAAACUCUCCCUAGCCCUCUAUUUGGCAAAUCUGACUAUAAUUCUAUCCUCCUGAUUCCUGCUUACAAGCUAAAACUAAAGCAGGAAGCACCAGUGAAUCGGUCAAUAAAUGAGUGGUCAAAUGAUGCUAAGCUACAGGACUGUUUUGCUAGCACAGACUGGAACAUGUUCCGGGAUUCUUCCGAUGGCAUUGAGGAGUACACCACAUCAGUCACUGGCUUCAUCAAUAAGUGCACCGACGACGUCGUCCCCACAGUGACUGUACGUACAUACCUCAACUAGAAGCCAUGGAUUACAGGCAACAUCCACACUGAGCUAAAGGGUAUAGCUACUGCUUUCAAGGAGCAAGACUAACCCAGAAGCUUAUAAGAAAUCCCGCUAUGCCCUCCGACAAACUGUCAAACAGGGAAAGUGUCAAUACAGGACUAAGAUGGAAUUGUACUACACCGGUUCCGACGCUCGUCAGAUGUGGCAGGGCUUGCAAACUAUUAGACUACAAAGGGAAGCACAGCCGCGAGCUGCUCAGUGACCCAAGCCUACCAGUCAAGCUUAAUAACUUCGAUGCUCGCUUCGAGGCAAGUAACACUGAAACAUGCAUGAGAUCAUCAGCUGUUCCGGGCGACUGUGAUCACGCUCUCCGUAGCCGAUUUUCAGUGUCCGCAGCCCCUGUAGAGGAUAAUCAAAUUGCCUACAUAUGUCAGGAGGGUAAUGUCACACUAGAAGCACCGUUUUAAAGAAUUGGAUGCCCAAUGUGAGGAGAGCUGGACCAUUGGCAAAGAGCCCAUUGCCAUUUAUAAAAACGACAGGGGUAAAGUAAGGACAAAGGAUUACAUUCCUCCAUGCAAGGAUGUGUUCUUUGGAAAAGUCAUCCUUAGUAAAUGUGCCAAUGUCACAUUAACUAUUGGUUGCACCAAGAAACAGGAUGGGUUACAUAAAGAGACCAGGAUCCACUUCUUAGGUAUGGUUUCCCCUGAAGUUAUUGGUGUAUUACACAACAUAUCUACCAUUGAAAUAAAUAUUAAGCAUUGUUGUCAUCAUCAUUGCUCAUAUCACUCUUUUUGCUACUUGGGGACAAACGCUAUCGCUGCCACCGCAAACGCUCAACUAGCUCAUUAUGGUAAAUUAUGCUUUUUUUAGACCAUGCACUACAUUUGGAUUGUACUAUUAUCAAAAUAGAAUAUACUUUACAGCUGCAGAUGAUCAAUUUCUAUAACUAUCAGAACAAGUUUUGUUGCCACAGGGAAAUUAUUGUUCUUUUAAUUUUAUUACAAUGAGAGAUUUUGAAAUGAGUGUUAGACAAUCAGCAUUUUUCAAAUAAUGCAAAUAAUUAAUUUAACAACUCUUUUCUUUUUUAAAUUUGAGGACUUUGGGCAUUGAUGAUGCUUUUGGUCUUUUUGAUUGUACUUUAAAUGUCAUCUGAAGGAAGCUAAAGCAACGGGACUCCAACGAUGUUGGUCUCACCCAGAUGACACCCCUUAACAUCGAUCCAGCUGAUAAAGCACAGUUAUGCCCACUUUUUCAAAGUUAAUCUACUAUAAGCAUGAUGUAAUUAAUCUAAGGGAAACAAAUGACUUCUACAGCUUUUAGUUGUAUGGUUUUUGUCUCAUUACUGUUUCUUUCUUUCUUAUGACCACCCAUUUUUUAACACCUGUACAGAACAUAGUAAAACUCAACCAAGUAAACCAGUAUGAUGGGUGAAGUUCACAUCUUUUAACCUAAGAGAGUAAGAAAGUGUGUUGUGUCUUAAAUGAAAAUUCAACCAAACAUUUCUCACUGCUGACCACUUACAAUUAACUGCACUGUAUCAUCAUGAUUUCACCAGAGAGAUGUAUUGUACAAUAGUGUUUAACACUUGGUAAUAAUUCUUACUUCCUUCGUCCAUAAAACCAAACACUUUUAUAUGAACUGACAACCAUCAUUUUACACAUGAAGAGGAGGCCUUUUGAACAUGAGCAGCGUUAAACAUUUUAAUAAGGUUUAUUUUCUUGUGUUCAUGCAUGUGUACUUUCGUAGCAGAGUUGUAUACCAUCAUGCUUUUGAUGAGAGAUAAUCACCCAUUUUCAUGCUCUGCUCAUUUUCUAAUCUGUCCUGUGAUGUGGUGAUGCAUUAAAAAUAAUUGUCUCCAAA